rnacentral:rRNA from 1 species
UACGUAGGGUGCAAGCGUUGUCCGGAAUUAUUGGGCGUAAAGAGCUCGUAGGCGGUCUGUCGCGUCUGCUGUGAAAACUCAGGGCUUAACCCUGAGCUUGCAGUGGGUACGGGCAGACUAGAGUGCGGUAGGGGAGACUGGAAUUCCUGGUGUAGCGGUGAAAUGCGCAGAUAUCAGGAGGAACACCGAUGGCGAAGGCAGAUCUCUGGGCCGUAACUGACGCUGAGGAGCGAAAGCAUGGGGGAGCGAACAGG